GAAAAUGUAGAAAUUUUCUCGAGAAAAUCCGCAGAGGAUAAUUUGAGUUUUUUUUCAUUGUUAGGAAUACACUGUAAUUACAUAUUUUUUCCUUUUUUCUUUUUCUAAUUUUUAUUUUUUAUGGAACAAGUCAUAGGAACAAGCUUUGAAAAAAGAAAAAGAAAAUAAUCCAAAAUAGCAGGAUUUCCUGAUGGGAUCUUACAAUUUGCCUGUCAUUUAAAGUAUGCAUACUUGCUAGAUCAGAAGUGGAAGAAAUUAAUUUUUGUUAGGACAGUAUGAAAUCUUUUCUUUGUAUACUGUUGUAUUUAGUCAUUACCAUAGUUACCUAAUUCGCUCAGCUCCCAUGGUAUCACGAUCUAGAAUGCAUGUUCCAGAAUGUGGUACAUCUGCGUUCGAAAAUGCUUCAGUAUGUGACAUGGUUCAUGAAAUAGGGGUUCCCUUUUUUAUUUCAAUUUAAUUGUGGAGGUGUCUUUCCAUGGAAGAAGAAGGAAAAAAAUAAGGAGAAUAAGAAAGAAAAAUAAGGGAAAACAUAGGAGAAACAAUUGCCAGAAGGAAAAGAAGAAGUUUCUAAGGGAAAAACAGAGGAGAAACAGUGCCCAUAAAGAGAAGAAGAAAUAAUAUGGAGGAGAAGAAAAAACAAAAAAUUUACUGAUAAGAAGAGGUAGAAGAGCCAUGCCAAAGAGGAGGAGGAAGAAUUGAUAUAUAUAUACGUAUUAAAAUUUAUGUAGACUGUAAAAUUAUUUCAAAGUUUCUUUUUAUUUGGGUACUUUGGUGUGUAAAAUUCUUCUUAGGAGUAAAAUUUAUGUAAUAAAAAGCCUAAUGAAUCGAAUAAAUAUAGUUCAUAUGGCAAACAAAUUUAAUUCACAUACUGUGAUCCAAAUUGGCAUACCAACCUAGCCCUGAGUGCCGUAUUUCUAAGUAAGUGUUGUAGCACAUCUCUGUACCCAUACCAUGUACUGAGGAGUACUGCUUUCCAGGUGACUGUUGUCAUUACUCUUCAAUAGAAUAUCUUCUCCUUCCCAGCCAUACCCUCUCUCUCUGUGCAUGUCUUUAUGUUACUUUUUUUGGGGGUUGGAGUGGUUGUUAUCAUUUCAUUUCUUUUAUAAUACAUAUAGCUGUCUGGGUAAUUGCCUGUCCGUUGUUAGCGUGAUAGCAUGUUGCAUUCUUA
rnacentral:misc_RNA from 1 species